GGUCCUGUAGCUCAGUCGGUUAGAGCGUGAUGCUAAUAACGUCAAGGUCGCGAGUUCGACCCUCGUCGGGACCA
rnacentral:tRNA from 1 species